rnacentral:rRNA from 1 species
CAAGUCGAGCGGCAGCGCGGGGCAACCUGGCGGCGAGCGGCGAACGGGUGAGUAAUGCAUCGGAACGUGUCCAUGUCGUGGGGGAUAGCCCGGCGAAAGCCGGAUUAAUACCGCAUACGCCCGAGAGGGGAAAGUGGGGGACCGCAAGGCCUCACGCGAUUGGAUCGGCCGAUGUCCGAUUAGCUAGUUGGCGGGGUAAAGGCCCACCAAGGCGAUGAUCGGUAGCUGGUCUGAGAGGAUGAUCAGCCACACUGGGACUGAGACACGGCCCAGACUCCUACGGGAGGCAGCAGUGGGGAAUUUUGGACAAUGGGGGCAACCCUGAUCCAGCCAUUCCGCGUGAGUGAAGAAGGCCUUCGGGUUGUAAAGCUCUUUUGUCCGGAACGAAACGGGCGACGUGAAUAUCGUCGUCUACUGACGGUACCGGAAGAAUAAGCACCGGCUAACUACGUGCCAGCAGCCGCGGUAAUACGUAGGGUGCGAGCGUUAAUCGGAAUUACUGGGCGUAAAGCGUGCGCAGGCGGUUUUGCAAGCCGGAUGUGAAAUCCCCGGGCUUAACCUGGGAAUGGCAUUUGGGACUGCAAGGCUGGAGUGCGGCAGAGGAGACUGGAAUUCCUGGUGUAGCAGUGAAAUGCGUAGAUAUCAGGAGGAACACCGAUGGCGAAGGCAGGUCUCUGGGCUGACACUGACGCUCAUGCACGAAAGCGUGGGGAGCAAACAGGAUUAGAUACCCUGGUAGUCCACGCCCUAAACGAUGUCGACUGGUUGUUGGGGGUUUGACACUCUCAGUAACGAAGCUNACGCGUGAAGUCGACCGCCUGGGGAGUACGGCCGCAAGGUUAAAACUCAAAGGAAUUGACGGGGACCCGCACAAGCGGUGGAUUAUGUGGAUUAAUUCGAUGCA